rnacentral:rRNA from 1 species
UUUUAUUUGAGAGUUUGAUCCUGGCUCAGGAUGAACGCUGGCGGCGUGCCUAACACAUGCAAGUUGAGCGAUUUACUUCGGUAAAGAGCGGCGGACGGGUGAGUAACGCGUGGGUAACCUACCCUGUACACACGGAUAACAUACCGAAAGGUAUGCUAAUACGGGAUAAUAUAUUUGAGAGGCAUCUCUUAAAUAUCAAAGGUGAGCCAGUACAGGAUGGACCCGCGUCUGAUUAGCUAGUUGGGAAGGUAACGGCUUACCAAGGCGACGAUCAGUAGCCGACCUGAGAGGGUGAUCGGCCACAUUGGAACUGAGACACGGUCCAAACUCCUACGGGAGGCAGCAGUGGGGAAGAUUGCACAAUGGGCGAAAGCCUGAUGCAGCAACGCCGCG